GGGGCGGUGACCCGCUGCCCCGGCUUUGGGCGCACACACGCUCGCUCCUUGCAGCGCCUAGCGGUCCGAACCCUCUCGUCCACACGCCCUUCCGCCGCCCACGGAGAGCGCCCGGCGGGCGACCGCUACAACUUGAGGUGUACCUGUCAUCACAUACCGUUGGAGAUGGCACUAUACUCUUUCUCCCCUGAAAGUCUGUAAACACCAAAAGAGCAAGAACUUGGUGGCUUUACAUCUCUAUCCCCUACAGAGCACAGGACAGUUAUGUGGAAGAGUGUUGAAAAAGACUGCCUGCCAUGGAACUCCUGCCUCUUCCCAUCUGCGAAGCCCCUUGGUGAAUGGUGAUUCAGAGGCAAGGAUUCAUCACUGCCCGAUUCUUUGGACUGGUCUGUCCUCACAUGUCUUGAUUUCCUUAGUCCAGAAACAUAAGUGUGCUUUCAUUCCCUUAUUCAUAAUACUUGCUUGCUGGAGAAAAUAAGCAAUUUGUGAAACAAUAUUCACAGUGGCAAAAUCAUGGCCCUUUAAUGGGUUUUAAAGAGUGCGUCAGAGAGUGUUCUUUUCAAAUCACUGUGAAAUUCUCUAAAGCCCAUCCAAGCAAAGUUUUGGCUGUCAAAUACUCUCUUUCCUUAGGACCCAUGAUUCCCAAACUGCGCCCCAAUAGAACACCAGACAAAUUUGCUGUAUCUGCACAAUCAAAUAGUACUGGUAUUUCCCAAAUUUGAAAAACUAAAAUUUCUCCCUUAUGUCUU